rnacentral:tRNA from 1 species
AUGAUUUUAAGCUAAUUUUAAGCUAAUGGGUUCAUACCCCACUGAUAGGAAACUUUUUCAUAAUAUA